CCCAAAGUGUCCCCAGGGUGUCCCCAGGGUGUCCCAAGACUGUCCCAGGACUGUCCCCAGGGUGUCCCCAGGGUGUCCCCAGAUGGGCUUUGAGGUCCCUCCCACCCUGACCCCACAGGACCUCAGGAAACUCCAAAACCCAAACUCCAAAAUCCCAAACUCCAAACCCCAAAAUUCCAAAUCCCAGACCCCAAACCCCAAAAUCCCAACACCAAAAUCCCAAACACCAAACCCCAAAAUCCUGAAGCCCAAACUUCCAAACCCCAAAAUCCCAAACCCCAAAAUUCCAAAUCCCAGACCCCACAUCCCAAACCCCAAAAUCCCAAACCCCAAAACCCCAAACCCCGAAAUCCCAAAGCCCAAACUUCCAAACCCCCAAAUCCAAAGCCCAAAAUCCCAAACACCAAGACCCCAAACACCGGAAUUCCAACACCAGAAUUUUAUUGGCACAGAGAACUCCACCAGUCCCAGCCCCAAACUGAACCCAGGUCACCAAAAACCCCAAAACUGGAUUGAUUUCAGAAAAACCCCGUGGUGGUUCCAGCAUGUUCUGAUUUUUCAGGUGUUUAUUCUGAUUUUUCGGGUGUUUUAUUCUGAUUUUUCAGGUGUUUAUUCUGAUUUUUUGGGUGUUUAUUCUGAUUUUUCGGGUGUUUUAUUGCUCAAACCCACCUCAGGUUGUGCUUGGCCACUCAGCUGUGAGACAUGCAGGAUUAAAAAUGGAAAUUAAAUUUUAAUUUUGUUUUAAUUAGGAUAGGAAGAAGCCAAAAGGAGAAUAUUUGGAUUUUUGGGGCCAGGCUUUAUUUGGGCAAAAUAAAAAUUGGGAGUGGGAGGUCAAGAGGAAAAAAAAAAAAAGUUGUAUAUUGAUUUUUUGGGAAAGAAUUAAUUCCAGUUUUUGGUGAGGAAUCCCAUCCCAAAAAUGGAUUUUGACCCCAAAAUCCUGCUCUGCAU